rnacentral:rRNA from 1 species
AACGAACGCUGGCGGCGCGCCUAAUACAUGCAAGUCGAGCGAGAAGACGUAGCAAUACGUUUGUAAAGCGGCGAACGGGUGAGGAAUACAUGGGUAACCUACCCUCGAGUGGGGAAUAACUAGCCGAAAGGUUAGCUAAUACCGCGUACGCUCCUUGGACUUCGGUUCAUGGAGGAAAGCGAUACCGUGGGUAUCGCGCUCUUGGAUGGGCUCAUGUCCUAUCAGCUUGNGGUGAGGUAACGGCUCACCAAGGCUUCAACGGGUAGCUGGUCUGAGAGGACGAUCAGCCACACUGGCACUGCGACACGGGCCAGACUCCUACGGGAGGCAGCAGUAAGGAAUAUUGCGCAAUGGGCGAAAGCCUGACGCAGCGACGCCGCGUGGGGGAGUGAAGGUCUUAGGGUUGUAAAGCUCUUUUACCCCGGGAAGAUAAUGACGGUACCGGGAGAAUAAGCCCGGCUAACUUCGUG